rnacentral:lncRNA from 13 species
UAGCUGAGGCUGCGCAGGAGGAAGAGGGACCAUGGUGGGCUGGUAUGUGACCCUCCAUGUAGUGGAUGUUCCCCCCACGGUGAUGGAGAGUGUCCAGGCAGGCAGGCCUCUGGUGCUGGUCUCCUUACUGCCACAUGAACAGAAGCUCCAUUAUUCAUCCGGGGUCUCUGUUGGGACUGCACCAAAGAGGCAUGCCAAUAUGUCUGGGAAACUGGAAGGUGAAGACUUGGGGUUGGAGGAGCGGAACAUGAUCCAAGAAAUGGAGGGGAUCAAAAGUUCACUGUGUACAUUUUUUCAUACUGCGAAUUUGAUUACAGUGUGGAAAAAGUUGAAAAAUAAAGAUUAAACAAUCGCACGA